UGUAGCAAUAAUCAUGUUAUUAUGUUGCCGGAGACUUCAUUACUAAAUAAUAAUCGUUUUUGACAACACCAUAGAGAUUUCCCUCUGAAUUUCUUUUUCUUUUUUUUUAUUGGAAGAAGAGAAGAGAACCGCAAGUGUGAGAGUGAGCGGGGAGGAGAGAAGAAGAAAACCGGGUUCAAACCGGAUCGGAAACAACCACACCAUUACGAUGUCGACCCCGUUCCACCGUCGAUCUCAAUCGGAGGUACAUUUCCGAAUCCCCGACGACUUCGACCUCGAAAUGGAUCCCUUCGACUUCGACGCCUCUCCGCUCCAUUUCCAAGAUCCACAACCACACGACGAUCUCCUCUCUUCCUACAUUGAUUCCGACAAUUCCGGAUCCAAACUCAACUCUCCUCCUCCCAAUGCAGAUGCCGGUAGGCCCGGUCACCGCCGUAGCAACUCCGCCGAUACAUCUUCUUCCAUGUUAUCAGAAGGAAUCGAAUCUAAGAAGGCCAUGUCCCCUGAUAAACUCGCUCAAUUAUGGACCGUUGAUCCGAAACGAGCCAAGAGGAUUCUGGCUAACCGUCAAUCUGCUGCACGUUCGAAAGAGAGGAAAGCUUGUUACGUGGUUGAGCUUGAGAGAAAAAUUCAUACUCUUCAAACUGAAGCAACUACUCUUUCUGCUCAAUUAAAUCUUUUCCAGAGAGAUACAAGUGGUCUGUCUAGUGAAAAUACCGAGUUGAAGCUUCGGUUACAAGGCAUGGAGCAACAAGCUAAGUUAUGUGAUGCUCUAAAUGAAGCCUUGAAGAAUGAAGUUGAUAGGCUGAAGGUUGCUACUGGAGAGGUAACAACCCAUGCUGAUACAUAUGGCUUGGGAAUGCAUCAACUUUCAUAUUCUCAAGCUUCACCCUUCAUGCACCAGCCACAACAUAGUCAGAACGAACUUCGGGCCAUGCAAAUGCAGCAGUUUCAUUCAUACUCAUCUAACAUAUCCAAUCCCCACCAGCCUCAGUUUGAUCUACCCACUUCAUAUGAUUUGUCAGAAAUGCUGUCAAGUGAUUCUAUCGGCCAGUUUCAGGGGCUGGAUAUUGGCCACAGGGUUUCUCAUGUUCUGAUGCCUGAUGGUCCCUCCGUUUCUGUUAAUAAAACCAACAACGCCUUUUGAUGCAAAUUUUACUAACAUGUCACCACCCUAUUUUUUGGGUUGUUCAUAGACUGACAUGAGUGAGACCCAAAGUUUUCUGAAGAAGUAAUUUGAAGGAGCUUCCGUGUACUUUACUAGUUGGUCUCAUGUUUUAGGCAGGAAAUAAAUGGCAAUUGGCAAGCACUUGGUGCUGUCUCCUCUUUUAUCCUUUCUAUUGCCGUUUUCCUUCCCUUUUCAUUUUAGCUUUCAUCUUCUCUGACAAUUUCUGUAUUACAUUAUCAAAUAAGAUUGCUGGUAAGAGUUGCAUUGUA